rnacentral:tRNA from 1 species
GGAGAGGUGGCUGAGUGGUUUAAAGCUACAGAUUGCUAAUCUGUUGUGUAAAUUUAUAUUAUUACACCAAGGGUUCGAAUCCCUUUCUCUCCUC